UGACAUCGGGGAGGCGAUGACCUCCAGGCGGAACUCGGUCACCAAUCGCCCUGGGUGAGCCAGUGGUGAGACCGGGCCCGUUCACU
rnacentral:ncRNA from 1 species